rnacentral:rRNA from 1 species
GUGAGGAAUAUUGGUCAAUGGGCGAGAGCCUGAACCAGCCAAGUAGCGUGCAGGAUGACGGCCCUAUGGGUUGUAAACUGCUUUUACACGGGGAUAAAGUGUGCGACGUGUCGUUCAUUGCAGGUACCGUGCGAAUAAGGACCGGCUAAUUCCGUGCCAGCAGCCGCGGUAAUACGGAAGGUCCGGGCGUUAUCCGGAUUUAUUGGGUUUAAAGGGAGCGUAGGCCGUCUGUUAAGCGUGUUGUGAAAUGUAGAUGCUCAACAUCUGAAUUGCAGCGCGAACUGACCGACUUGAGUGCGCAGGAAGUAGGCGGAAUUCGUGGUGUAGCGGUGAAAUGCUUAGAUAUUAGGAGGAACACCAGUGGCGAAGGCGGCUUACUGGACUGUAACUGACGUUGAGGCUCGAAAGCGUGGGGAGCAAACAGGAUUAGAAACCCGUGUAGUCC